rnacentral:rRNA from 1 species
ACUUUCAACAACGGAUCUCUUGGCUCUCGCAUCGAUGAAGAACGCAGCGAAAUGCGAUAAGUAAUGUGAAUUGCAGAAUUCAGUGAAUCAUCGAAUCUUUGAACGCACCUUGCGCUCCUUGGUACUCCGAGGAGCAUGCCUGUUUGAGUGUCA